rnacentral:rRNA from 1 species
UACGGAGGGUGCGAGCGUUGUCCGGAAUCAUUGGCGUAAAGGGCGCGUAGGUGGCCCAGUAAGCGUGCGGUGAAAGCUCGGGGCUCAACCCCGAGUCGGCCGUGCGAACUGCUGGGCUUGAGCACUGUAGAGGCAGGCGGAAUUCCGGGUGUAGCGGUGGAAUGCGUAGAGAUCCGGAAGAACACCGGUGGCGAAGGCGGCCUGCUGGGCAGUUGCUGACGACUGAGGCGCGACGAGCGUGGGGAGCAACAGGA